rnacentral:misc_RNA from 1 species
GGAAGUAAAAGUUGUAACAAGGUUUCCGUAGGUGAACCUGCGGAAGGAUCAUUAUCGUACAAAAUGUGAGGGGCAUGCGAGGGCUGUCGCUGACCCAAAAGUCGUGCACGCCCGAGUGCGUCCUCUUGCAUAAUAAUCCAUCUCACCCGUUGUGCAUCACCGCGUGGGCACCCUUCGGGAUCAUCUCGGAGGGGGGCUCGCGUUUUCACACAAACCCCCCUUUUAAAAGUGUAGAAUGACCACAUUUAUGCAAUCAAUACAACUUUCAACAACGGAUCUCUUGGCUCUCGCAUCGAUGAAGAACGAAGC